AUUGAACGCUGGCGGCAUGCCUUACACAUGCAAGUCGAACGGUAACAGGUCUUCGGAUGCUGACGAGUGGCGAACGGGUGAGUAAUACAUCGGAACGUGCCUAGUAGUGGGGGAUAACUACUCGAAAGAGUGGCUAAUACCGCAUGAGAUCUACGGAUGAAAGCAGGGGAUCGCAAGACCUUGUGCUACUAGAGCGGCCGAUGGCAGAUUAGGUAGUUGGUGGGAUAAAAGCUUACCAAGCCGACGAUCUGUAGCUGGUCUGAGAGGACGAUCAGCCACACUGGGACUGAAACACAGCCCAGACUCCUACGGGAGUCAGCAGUGGGGAACUUUGGACAAUGGGCGAAAGCCUGAUCCAGCAAUGCCGCGUGCAGGAUGAAGGCCUUCGGGUUGUAAACUGCUUUUGUACGGAACGAAAAGCCCCGGGUUAAUACCCUGGGGUCAUGACGGUACCGUAAGAAUAAGCACCGGCUAACUACGUGCCAGCCGCCGCAGUAA
rnacentral:rRNA from 1 species